rnacentral:rRNA from 1 species
GGGGGCGGGUUCCGGAUUAUUGGGCGUAAGAGCUCGUAGGCGGUUUGUCGCGUCUGCCGUGAAAGUCCGGGGCUCAACUCCGGAUCUGCGGUGGGUACGGGCAGACUAGAGUGAUGUAGGGGAGACUGGAAUUCCUGGUGUAGCGGUGAAAUGCGCAGAUAUCAGGAGGAACACCGAUGGCGAAGGCAGGUCUCUGGGCAUUAACUGACGCUGAGGAGCGAAAGCAUGGGGAGCGAACAGGAUUAGAUACCCUGGUAGUCCAUGCCGUAAACGUUGGGCACUAGGUGUGGGGGACAUUCCACGUUUUCCGCGCCGUAGCUAACGCAUUAAGUGCCCCGCCUGGGGAGUACGGCCGCAAGGCUAAAACUCAAAGGAAUUGACGGGGGCCCGCACAAGCGGCGGAGCAUGCGGAUUAAUUCGAUGCAACGCGAAGAACCUUACCAAGGCUUGACAUGGGCCGGACCGGGCUGGAAACAGUCCUUCCCCUUUGGGGCCGGUUCACAGGUGGUGCAUGGUUGUCGUCAGCUCGUGUCGUGAGAUGUUGGGUUAAGUCCCGCAACGAGCGCAACCCUCGUUCCAUGUUGCCAGCGCGUAAUGGCGGGGACUCAUGGGAGACUGCCGGGGUCAACUCGGAGGAAGGUGGGGACGACGUCAAAUCAUCAUGCCCCUUAUGUCUUGGGCUUCACGCAUGCUACAAUGGCCGGUACAAAGGGUUGCGAUACUGUGAGGUGGAGCUAAUCCCAAAAAGCCGGUCUCAGUUCGGAUUGGGGUCUGCAACUCGACCCCAUGAAGUCGGAGUCGCUAGUAAUCGCAGAUCAGCAACGCUGCGGUGAAUACGUUCCCGGGCCUUGUACACACCGCCCGUCAAGUCACGAAAGUUGGUAACACCCGAAGCCGGUGGCCUAACCCCUUGUGGGAGGGAGCUGUCGAAGGUGGGACUGGCGAUUGGGACUAAGUCGUAACAAGGG